UACCUACCGUUGGAACCGCGAUGCCCCGUUCCCUGGCCGCGGCCGCUUCUCCAGGACCCGCGGCGACGGCAAGAGGGCGAGAACUGAGGCCCCAAGUGGCUCCGCGGCCGAGAAGCCUCUUCCUGGGGCGGCCGCUGACGGGAGGUUAAAGCUACGGCUGUGGCGCGGGGCCAGCCCGGAGGUGGCAGUAAAGUGUUUUGUCCAAACUAAAUUACAACGACUGCUUCCCAAUAGAUGGAAGCAAAGCGUCUGGACGAAGGAGAGCUUUUUUCUCAUGGUGCUGCUGUGUUAGCCUAGUGACAGCUCUGUAUGGCCCACACCUGGUCCACAGGAAGCUCUCAGGCACCUCUUGCCCGAACAAACUUGGGAGUACAGGCUAAUCCCAGUGCAGAUUCAACAUUCCUCUACUCUGCUGCCAAAACAGCCGCCAGCCUGUGGGAGUCAGACACAGGCCCACGGUGCCCCUCAGACUGCAGGAGGUACAAGUCAAGUGCUCUGAGCAGAUCCAUUGAAGGCCCACUCCCUCGACUUGAAGUAAAAGGCAGGCAGGCACCUGUGGUAAGAAUCACAGCUCACCAGCAACAGUCUCCAAAGACAUUGUCCUCAAUAAUUCUGGUUUGGCCUUUUAUAACUAAAUAACUGAGUAUUUAAUCUACCUGCUUUGUCUAAAUCCUCUGAAAUUUCUAGAGGGGGUCUAUCUCAGAAAUUACUUUAGUUUUUUGGUGGAUGGAGGGAAGAAGAUGGUUUCUUUUAUAAUAAUCUUGUUGCUUCAGUUAAAACAGUGGUUCUCAACUGCGACAAUUUUGGGGGACCAUGUGUGCAGACAUUUUUGGUUUUUUUUUAAACUUUUUUUUUCCUUCUGAAUUCAGGAUCUGCUGAAUACAGACAUUUUUGAUUGUCACCACUGGAGAGGUGCUAUUGGCUGGUGGGAGAAGGUCAAGGAUGCUGGUAAACAUCCUUUACGGCACAGGACAGCCCCUACAGCAAAGAACAGCAAUUCUGUUUGUUACAGAGAUGAGAGAAUACCUCACUAAAAGAAUACUUCAAAAUUACAUCACUUUUUCUUCUUUUUUUCCUACAAAUUCUUUACCUGUAGAUGGAAACGUCACAUUUCAAUAUAUCAAUAGAGUCAAAAAUAGCAUUUGCAAUAGCUAUUUGGCCAGGAUGAGAAGUGACUGGUAUAGACCAAUCCUUUGUGUUUCCAAGACUCCUUCUGGAGAUGAGGCCAUGCCAGGAAAAUUACUACUUGAGAU
rnacentral:lncRNA from 10 species